rnacentral:rRNA from 1 species
UGGUGAAUUUUGGACAAUGGGCGAAAGCCUGAUCCAGCAAUGCCGCGUGAGUGAAGAAGGCCUUCGGGUUGUAAAGCUCUUUUGUCAGGGAAGAAACGGUGAGGGCUAAUAUCCCUUGCUAAUGACGGUACCUGAAGAAUAAGCACCGGCUAACUACGUGCCAGCAGCCGCGGUAAUACGUAGGGUGCAAGCGUUAAUCGGAAUUACUGGGCGUAAAGCGUGCGCAGGCGGUUUUGUAAGUCUGAUGUGAAAUCCCCGGGCUCAACCUGGGAAUUGCAUUGGAGACUGCAAGGCUAGAAUCUGGCAGAGGGGGGUAGAAUUCCACGUGUAGCAGUGAAAUGCGUAGAUAUGUGGAGGAACACCGAUGGCGAAGGCAGCCCCCUGGGUCAAGAUUGACGCUCAUGCACGAAAGCGUGGGGAGCAAACA